CCUACGGGUGGCAGCAGUGAGGAAUAUUGGUCAAUGGCCGGAAGGCUGAACCAGCCAUGCCGCGUGAAGGUCAGUGCCCUAUGGGCGUUAAACUUCUUUUGUGCGGGAGCAAUAAUGGUCACGUGUGGCCAGACGAGAGUACCGUACGAAUAAGCAUCGGCUAACUCCGUGCCAGCAGCCGCGGUAAUACGGGGGAUGCAAGCGUUAUCCGGAUUUAUUGGGUUUAAAGGGUGCGUAGGCUGUGAGGUAAGUCAGCGGUGAAAUGCCCCCGCUCAACGGGGUGAAGUGCCAUUGAUACUGCCUGGCUGGAAUGCGGAUGCCGUGGGAGGAAUGUGUGGUGUAGCGGUGAAAUGCAUAGAUAUCACACAGAACACCGAUUGCGAAGGCAUCUCACGAAGCCGCGAUUGACGCUGAUGCACGAAAGCGUGGGGAUCGAACAGGAUUAGAUACCCGAGUAGUC
rnacentral:rRNA from 1 species